AUAGCGUAUAUUAAAGUUGUUGCAGUUAAAAAGCUCGUAGUUGAAUUUUUGAUCUGGCCAAGGUGUCGGCCGCAAGGUCUGUACUUCUUGGCUGGAUCUUUCCUUCUGGAGAGCCAUUAUGCCAUUUAUUUGGUGUUUUGGGGAUCCAGGACUUUUACCUUGAAAAAAUUAGAGUGUUUAAAGCAGGCAUACGCUUGAAUACAUUAGCAUGGAAUAAUAGAAUAGGACUUUGGUUCUAUUUUGUUGGUUUCUAGGACCGAAGUAAUGAUUAAUAGGGACAGUUGGGGGCAUUAGUAUUUCAAAGUCAGAGGUGAAAUUCUUGGAUUUUUGAAAGACUAACUUCUG
rnacentral:rRNA from 1 species